rnacentral:rRNA from 1 species
UACGUAGGGCGCGAGCGUUGUCCGGAAUCAUUGGGCGUAAAGAGCUCGUAGGCGGCCUGUCGCGUCUGCUGUGAAAUCCCGGGGCUUAACCCCGGGCGUGCAGUGGAUACGGGCUGACUGGAGGCAGGCAGGGGAGAACGGAAUUCCCGGUGUAGCGGUGAAAUGCGCAGAUAUCGGGAGGAACACCGGUGGCGAAGGCGGUUCUCUGGGCCUGUACUGACGCUGAGACGCGAAAGCGUGGGGAGCGAACAGG